rnacentral:rRNA from 1 species
CCUGGGGCCCCUCUAACUUCUGCUUUGGCAGUAAGAAUGCCCCUCACUGAUCUUGUCUGAGCUUGGAAGCUAAGUAGGUUUGGGCCUGGUUAGUACUUGGAUGGGAAACUGCUUGGGACUGCCAGGUACCCUAGGC